UGAAACAAAACUUAACACCUUAACACACACACACACACACACACACACACACACACACACACACACACACACACACACCCACUAAAAACCUUUUCUCAGUUUGUCUAAUUUAUGGAUAUCCAAUUCUGAACCCUAUGGUGUGAGAUGCGGUUUCUAGAAUUGUGAUGCAACUUCAAGCCUCUGUACUAUAAUCUGACAAUGUGUCAUAUUAUAUUAGUUGCUACUAUAUUGCUUUUGAAACACAUUUUCUAUCUAGCGAUAAAGUUCGAGAAAAAUCUCGAGCUUGAUCCUUGUGCAGACUGAAAUGCAAUGCAAAUGGUAAGUGUCAACUGUCACUGGUUCCCCUUUGAAGUUGUUAUUGAAAUUCACAUGAAAUAUAGUGACUGUUGAACACUGAUCUAUACAUACAGGGGGACAAUAAUAGGGUGAAAGACUUAACACAUGAAAGAGAGGGGGAGAGCUAGGCAAGCCUCGAUCAGGUUUAGGGUUACUGAGGUGACAACACAGUCACUCCCAGCAGGUGGGAAAGAGGCCUGGUGUGGUUGUGCAUGUGCAUGUGUGUUAAAGGUCAGUUGGUGGUUGCCUGGAUUCCUUCAUGUUAGUAUUUAGCUACGCUGCUCCAGACCCUGUGUUUUUAACCAUGACAGCUGCAAAUAUCCCGGCCCUCCGACAACUUGACUGACUAGAAAUAGAGGUGUUUGUGCAUAGGCUUGUGUGUGCAUGUAAAAGUGUCCUUCAUCUGCACAUGCUUGUACUUGAACUAAAUGUAAGCUGACACAGCAAAGUCCUCCUAAUUAGUGAGGGGAUAAAUUUGCUUUUCCCUUAGGAUAAGACAAACGAUCUAUGUGAACUAUUAUCAACAACAGGAUAAAUACACAGAAGAGAUGCAAACAUCUUACAUAAUGCUCUCUCUACAAUAGCUGCAGUAACAUCCGCGAGCAGAAAUAUUUCAAAAAUUCCAUGUAGAACCAAACAUUACAUAUGUUGCUCUUCUUACCAAUGGUGCAAUAUUUGAGAAAGCUGCAAAUUUGGUGGCUUUAAGCACCGACUUUAUGUUCAUACAAUUGACACAGUCCUCUUUUGUGGAGCAAUGUUUACGCCGGCAAAGGAAGGUUAAGUAAAAGUGGAUGGUGCAACAGAGACACUGUGUUCACAGCUUCCUCCAUUUAGGACACUGACAAGAAAAAGAGAAAAACAAAUUAAAAUAAAUGUUUGUUUUUGUGUGUGUGUUUGUUUGUUUGUUUGUUUGUCUGUUUUGGUUACUGGGAAAAAUUCUUGAGGGUGGGAUGGCAAUGUGGGGGCUGGAUUUUGAUCUCAAAUCCCUCCAUCAGCCACAAUUUAGUAAUGCGUAAGCAGUUACUGUAAUAUUUCUUUCCCCAGUAACUAGUAGUGUAAGUGAUUUACAAAACAGUAAUAAUUACAAAAAGUGCUGCAUCAAUUAAGUAAAAUUAUUACUUUUUGAGUCUUAAAAAGGAGAAAGUAACUUUUUACACUUCCUGAAUAACUUUCCCAACACUGGUCACUAACCUACUACACAGUCACAGGCUGGAAAACUGUAUUUAAUGUCUUUCUAUGCUUGUUCAGCAUGGAACUUAAUGACAGCCUAGGCAUAUAUGUAUAUUCCUCCUGUCUCUCUGUUACAGGGCCUCUACACGACGUGCCUGAGUGAGUGGCAUGUGUAGGGUGACUGAGUUCACAGUGUUCACAUGUGGGUGUGUGUGUGUGAGAGAGAGAGAGAUAGGGAGGGAGGAAGAGAUAGACAGAACAGCCGGGGUCAACUGACCACAGAGGAACUCUCCCUGCAGGCUUCAGGGCCCACAGCUGAUCGCAACACAUGGCCACACCCGCUGACGAGUUGGAUGCCAUGGCCACCUUGACACCACCCUCCUCUCCUCUUGGUGUGUUCUAAUUAAUCAUGAGACCACGGAAACACACGAGGGAGGGUGAGAGUGCCAGGAAGAGAAGACUGCUGAUCAGUUUGUUGGCUGUUAUCAAUGGACCUCUCUAUGACACAGUGACCUUCAGCGUGACCCCAGCUGGCUCCUGGAAACAGCAUAGGAAGAGAAAGAAAAGGAGCUGUGUUCUUGUGUGUAUGUACAAUCUGAUUUCAGUGCUCCUAAAAUGUUUUUAAAAAAAUACAGUAAUUACCAAAGAUACACUGUUAUUGAGGGCAUGGUUAGCACUGUUGCCUCACAGCAAGAAGGUCGUGGGUUCAAAC